GGAGGGUAUAGCUCAGUGGUAGAGCUCAUGCUUAGCACGCAUGAGGUCCUGGGUUCAAUCCCCAGUAUCUCCA
rnacentral:tRNA from 1 species